AGAUCUCCGCUGAAGUCAACAGCAAGGAGUUGAGGGAGGGGGUGUUGGGAUGGGGGGCAGUGGGAAUCCUCUGAAGGAACGGAUAGGGGGGUAAAAGCUGAAGAUUUGCCCUUCUUUUUCAGUAAGCUUCUCCUCUCUGUCGCGUCUCAACCGUAGUUUGGCACCUCCGUGCGGAGUGAUACGAGCGCGCGGCCGCGGGAGCUCCUGCAUGUGGAGCUGAUGGGCUGAUUGGCAGCCUACUUAAGCGCCAAGCUCCUCCUAUGCCCGGGGCAGGCGAUUAGUGCAUUGGUUCGCGUGGGUCCCCUGUGCUGCGGGGGUCUGCGGAGCAACAGGUCAUGUGAUCUGGUAUUUGGCAAACACACCAGGAAGAUGACACCCCUGUUUUUGAUGACAUGGAGCGUUUAGGUGUUUCGGGGUUAUUCCCCCUCUGGUGGACGCGUCAGGAGGAGCCUCCUGUUGGGGGGGGGGGGGGGGGGGCCGCAGAGGGGAGGGGGGGCGGGGGGGGGGGGGGGGUAGAGGGAGGGGGGGGGGGGGUCACAGUGACUGAGGAGCGUCAGGGAUGCGGGGCGAAAACUGAGAAUGGGUGGAAGAUCCAGCAAGACUGCUUCUCCCCCUUCACCCCUCCCGUUACGCACACGGUUGGGCAGUGCUAAUGAGGUUGAGGACCCCCGCACCCUGCUCGGAGGAGGCCCCGUGGCCCUCCUGGGCCCCCUCGGAGCACCAGGAGGGCUUUACUCCUGAACCUCAAAGCUGUUUUCCUAAACACACAUUAGGACGCGCUCCCGCCGCCGCUGCGUGUGUGUGCGUCACGCGCGGAGGAGAGCGGAUGCUUCAUCUCCAUGGCAUUUUAAAUGGCAUUCACGGAGGGCGGCUUCGUCCUCAUUGCCAAGGUAAAUGGAGCCAGGGGACUCUCCAUUUCAGCUGGAUGAAAGCGCAGCGUUGGAGCGCCCCUCUCUCUCUGUCUGCCUCGUUCCUCACUUAA
rnacentral:lncRNA from 1 species